rnacentral:rRNA from 1 species
AAUAGAUACCCAGGUAGUCCAUGCCGUAAACGUUGGGAACUAGGUGUGGGUCUCAUUCCACGAGAUCCGUGCCGCAGCUAACGCAUUAAGUUCCCCGCCUGGGGAGUACGGCCGCAAGGCUAAAACUCAAAGGAAUUGACGGGGGCCCGCACAAGCGGCGGAGCAUGCGGAUUAAUUCGAUGCAACGCGAAGAACCUUACCAAGGCUUGACAUAUACCGGAAACACCCAGAGAUGGGUGCCCCGCAAGGUCGGUAUACAGGUGGUGCAUGGUUGUCGUCAGCUCGUGUCGUGAGAUGUUGGGUUAAGUCCCGCAACGAGCGCAACCCUCGUUCUAUGUUGCCAGCACGUAAUGGUGGGGACUCAUAGGAGACUGCCGGGGUCAACUCGGAGGAAGGUGGGGAUGACGUCAAAUCAUCAUGCCCCUCAUGUCUUGGGCUUCACGCAUGCUACAAUGGCCGGUACAAAGGGCUGCGAAACCGCAAGGUAGAGCGAAUCCCAAAAAACCGGUCUCAGUUCGGAUUGGGGUCUGCAACUCGACCU